GUUGACCCUUGCUUUGCCAUUUUACAUGUACUAGCAGUAUUAGCUUGUUUUGGAUUUAAUUAAUCCCAAUAUUUAAAAUUAAAUUAAAAAAAAUGGUACAAGUUAUUUUCCAUUGCUUGCACGUAUUGUUCACUGAUCUCAUCAUAGCACGUCAUUUAGCUGGUAUUACAUUGCAUGUAGUUGCAUAGUGGUCGUCUUGUCAUCUCUAUUUCCAAUACAUUGACCAUGGAUCCAUCCCAAUUUGAUGCACUCACUAGACAAUUAGUGCAACUUGCCACUAGCCUAUCGACUGUCCAAUCAGAUAUAACUGCUACUCGUGAGGAGAGAAAGAACCUAGCUGCUAAGUUGAGCAAUUUUAAGCGAACCCCUCGUUUAACUGACACUAAUUCUGAAGCGUCUCAUAAUAGACAAUAUCAUCGUG
rnacentral:lncRNA from 1 species